UAUUAUUAUUCUAUUUCUUAAAUGAAAUUAAUAGUCAAUACAUGAAAUUGUCAUCUGAAAAGCGCAGCCAUUUGUAUGUGGUGAGCCACUGCUUCAGAAAAGUUCGCUUUUUUUGGGAGGAACAUGUAGAAGGUUGAGGCACUUCUUCUGCAGUACUCUCUCUAGGGGCUGAUCAGAGUCAGGGAGGAGUGCAGAGGUAGUGGGGACAGAAAAUGCAGCUGCAAUAGUUUGCUGACCUGCAAUAGGUUUAAUCUUUUUCUUUGGUGGUAUUUUUGCGUUCUCUCUUCUCUGCGUUCAACGAGAAAAACGGGAUCUCGUUUGAAGCGCGAUGUAUGCGCAGGCGACGUUUGGGCAUAACAAUAUGGCGGCUGCCGUUCAAUGUAGUUUUCAUCACCACCACCGGAUUAUGUUUCAUUUAUUUCAUUACAGCACGUCCCCUAAACGUUACAACAUAAUCGACACGAAUGAGCACAGCAUCGAGCAGUGGAAACGU